AUGAGACCUUCAUACCCUUCUUCUUCAAGCUCUGCUAAAAAAGGGUUAUACUCUCAUUUUGUGUUAACUAGUAAAGAAAAGGGUUCAAACCAAUCAAAACCUAUAACUUCAUAAUCAAAGGUUCUGAAGAAAUCAAAACCUGGGAUCCCAAGAUCAAAGGUCCUGAAUAAAUCAGAACCAAUGAUUCCUAAGUCAAAGAUUUUAAAAGAAUCAGAACCUAAAACCUCCAAGCCAAAGGUCCUGAAG
rnacentral:lncRNA from 1 species